CCCCGGGGGUAUUGCCUCAGUAGCGGCGAGUGAAGCGGCAAGAGCUCAGAUUUGAAAUCGUGCUUUGCGGCACGAGUUGUAGAUUGCAGGUUGGAGUCUGUGUGGAAGGCGGUGUCCAAGUCCCUUGGAACAGGGCGCCCAGGAGGGUGAGAGCCCCGUGGGAUGCCGGCGGAAGCAGUGAGGCCCUUCUGACGAGUCGAGUUGUUUGGGAAU
rnacentral:rRNA from 1 species